GGGGCUGCAGGCUUCCAGUUCCCUGAUCCUAGUGCCGUGUAAGAAAAUUGAAGCAACAAAAAUAAGCCUGCCUUCUCUGCACAGGUCUUCUGUGUUUCUC